UGAACCGGAGGUUGAUCACGUCCAUUUCCGGCGCAAGCGGCCUCAAAUGGUCAUGGCGGCCCUCAAAGCUCCGAAGUUGCUGUGGAGGUUCUUGAUAGGUUCUCGAGGCAUGGAGCCAGUCUGUAUCUGGACCCGAACCCAGCUUCAUCCGGAUACUCUGUUCCAGCUGCUGCCUCUGCCCCUCGCUGUAGGGCUGCCACGCCGUCGGCUCAGCUCCAGGACCGCAGAAUCUGGUACCUCAGAGAUGAAGAAACCUACAUUUAUAGAUAAAGAAGUCCAAAGCAUCCUUAUCAAGAUGACAGGAUUGAACUUGGAGAAGAUUUUUAAGCCAGCUGUACAAGAGCUGAAGCCACCAACCUAUAAGCUAAUGACUCAGGCACAGUUGGAAGAGGCUACCAGAAAGGCAGUUGAAGCAGCUAAAGUUCGAUUAAAAAUGCCACCAGUUCUGGAAGAACGAGCACCAAUAAAUGAUGUGUUAGCAGAAGAUAAGAUUUUGGAAGGGACAGAAACAGCCAAAUAUGUGUUUACUGAUAUAUCAUAUGCCAUACCACACCGGGAGCGUUUUAUUGUUGUAAGAGAACCAAGUGGCACACUACGCAAAGCUUCUUGGGAAGAACGGGACCGGGUGAUACAAGUUUAUUUCCCCAAAGAAGGUCGUAGGGUUUUACCACCAAUAAUUUUCAAGGAAGAAAACCUUAAGACCAUGUACAGCCAGGACCGGCAUGCUGAUGUCCUUAAUCUUUGUGUUGCCCAGUUUGAGCCAGAUUCUACUGAGUACAUCAAGGUUCACCACCACCAAUAUAGGCAGAAGGGAAGGAAAAUACCUGAAAGUUUAUUGAAUACAGAUGUGUACGAGACACAUAUUUUAUCCUCACAACAACCUUUAAGGAUGAGGAAAUUUAAGCUUGGGGAAUUAAGUAGCUUACUGACAGGUGCAUUGCUAGUAAGUGGUAGGGUUUGGACCAAACAAUGGUAAAGCCUGUUCUCUUAAUUUACCAUACUAGAACAAAGUUACUACUAUAGUUUGUCAAAGUGCAGUGUGUGUGUCUUAAAUACCUCAGUAAGUACAUAUUCAUUAGUACCUUUUAUGUGUAAGGUAUUAUCACAGGUAGUAAGGUAAUAUCACAAACAAGGAUAGGAUGUGCUGUGUCAAAGGCUACAGUCCAAUAAUGAUUGUGUGGAAGGAUGCUAGAUAGGUAGGCAGUAAUUAUCACCUUAUAUCUAAAAUGUUAGGUGCUAAAAGGUUAUAGAGUACUUUCAGGAAAGGCUUUGUAGAAGUCUUACAAAGUAUUCUGGAAGAGCUAGGAACACUGUGGCAGGGGGAGUUGCCUGAAGAGAGAGAGGUGUUUCAGGUAGAACAAUAAAGAGCAACAGGCAGAAAAUAACCCAAGUGUGCUUGAGACAUGGCCAGUGAUCUGGUCUGCUUGACCAUCCAAUGUGUAUAUAGGAGAGGGUUCCAGACUAAGCUGGAAAGGUAGAUGGGGCCACAUCACUGGAGACCUUGAUGCUAGGCUGAGGAAUCAGUACUUUAGUCAGUAGGUCUUUGAAAGCCUUUUGAGCAGAGUAAUACCCUCACCAGAGCCCUCAUUUAGGAAGAUGAGUCUGGAAGGAGAACUGAAGAAAUGUCAGUAGAAUGGCAUGGGUGAGCUGAUGGGAUGGGGUAGUUGAUGGGAAAAAGGAGAAGUGAAAAAAGUGGUUUCUUUUUUCCCUAGUGACCAGAAGGUGUGAUAAUUUAUUUCCAGGGGUCUAUAUAUAUGAAAUCAUUGCUUGUGUUUGGGUGUUGAAAGUUUGGGUAUUGAUAAGGCUAUAAAGGUUUGGUGUGACUUGCUUCAGGCUGCCACACACUCCUGCAGUGGGGAAGACACAGAUUUGCUGUCAACUCAACAAAUUCUUUUCAGAUAAACCUUCCUUCCCACCUAAGGUGGGGGUGUACCAGGAGUUGUCUACAGCUUACUAAAUGGCUCAUUAUAGUGGAGGCAGCUGUUCAUCACCAGACCUAUGAAGAUAUCAAUAAACAUGGAAAGUAUGACCUUUUACGUUCAACAAGACACUUUGGUGGAAUGGCUUGGUAUUUUGUAAAUAA